CCCGACCGCUAUCGGGGUAGGGCUAAGCCAUGCGAGUCGCGCGCCCGGGGGCGCCCGGGAGCGGCGCACGGCUCAGUAACACGUGCCCAACCUACCCUCGGGAGGGGGACACCCCCGGGAAACUGGGGCCAAUCCCCCAUAGGGGAAGGGCGCUGGAAGGCCCCCUCCCCGAAAGGACGGCAGCCGAUCCGCCGCCGCCCGCCCGAGGAUGGGGGCACGGCCCAUCAGGUAGUUGGCGGGUUAAAGGCCCGCCAAGCCGAAGACGGGUAGGGGCGGUGAGAGCCGCGAGCCCCGAGAUCGGCACUGAGACAAGGGCCGAGGCCCUACGGGGUGCAGCAGGCGCGAAUACUCCGCAAUGCGGGCAACCGCGACGGGGCUACCCCGAGUGCCGGGCGAAGAGCCCGGCUUUUGCCCGGUCUAAAACGCCGGGAGAAUAAGCGGGGGGCAAGUCUGGUGUCAGCCGCCGCGGUAAUACCAGCUCCGCGAGUGGUCGGGGUGUUUACUGGGCUUAAAGCGCCCGUAGCCGGCCCGGCAAGUCGCUCCUGAAAUCCCAGGGCUCAACCCUGGGGCAGGGGGCGAUACUGCCGGGCUAGGGGGCGGAAGAGGCCGCCGGUACUCCGGGGGUAGGGGCGAAAUCCGUUAAUCCCCGGAGGACCACCAGUGGCGAAAGCGGGCGGCCAGAACGCGCCCGACGGUGAGGGGCGAAAGCCGGGGGAGCAAAGGGGAUUAGAUACCCCUG
rnacentral:rRNA from 1 species